AACGAACGCUGGCGGCAGGCUUAACACAUGCAAGUCGAACGCACCUUUCGGGGUGAGUGGCAGACGGGUGAGUAACGCGUGGGAAUCUACCCUUCUCUACGGGAUAGCUCCGGGAAACUGGAAUUAAUACCGUAUACGUCCUGAGGGAGAAAGAUUUAUCGGGGAAGGAUGAGCCCGCGUUGGAUUAGCUAGUUGGUGGGGUAAAGGCCUACCAAGGCGACGAUCCAUAGCUGGGCUAAGAGGAUGAUCAGCCACAGUGGGACUGAGACACGGCCCAAACUCCUGCGGGAGGCAGCAGUGGGGAAUCUUGGACAAUGGGCGCAAGCCUGAUCAAGCCAUGCUGCGUGAGUGAUGAAGGCCCUAGGGUUGUAUAGCUCUUUCAGUGGGGACGAUAAUGACGGUAACCACAGGAGAAGCCCCGGCUAACUUCGUG
rnacentral:rRNA from 1 species